rnacentral:rRNA from 1 species
CCUACGGGAGGCUGCAGUGGGGAAUAUUGGACAAUGGGCGAAAGCCUGAUCCAGCCAUGCCGCGUGUGUGAAGAAGGCCUUCGGGUUGUAAAGCACUUUCAGUGGGGAAGAAAGCCUUGGGGCUAAUACCCUCGAGGAAGGACAUCACCCACAGAAGAAGCACCGGCUAACUCCGUGCUAGCAGCCGCGGUAAUACGGAGGGUGCGAGCGUUAAUCGGAAUUACUGGGCGUAAAGCGCGCGUAGGCGGUCUGAUAAGCCGGUUGUGAAAGCCCCGGGCUCAACCUGGGAACGGCAUCCGGAACUGUCAGGCUAGAGUGCAGGAGAGGAAGGUAGAAUUCCCGGUGUAGCGGUGAAAUGCGUAGAGAUCGGGAGGAAUACCAGUGGCGAAGGCGGCCUUCUGGACUGACACUGACGCUGAGGUGCGAAAGCGUGGGUAGCAAACAGGAUUAGAUACCCGAGUAGUC